rnacentral:rRNA from 1 species
UAUGGUUUUGGUGGCAGACGGGUGAGUAUGCGUAGGAUCUACCUAGUAGUACGGAAUAGCCAUUAGAAAUGGUCGGGUAAUACUGUAUAAUCCCCGAGGGGGAAAGAUUUAUCGCUAUUAGAUGAGCCUACGUUAGAUUAGCUAGUUGGUGAGGUAAUGGCUUACCAAGGCUAUGAUCUAUAGCUGGUCUGAGAGGACGAUCAGCCACACUGGAACUGAGAUACGGUCCAGACUCCUACGGGAGGCAGCAGUGGGGAAUAUUGGACAAUGGGCGAAAGCCUGAUCCGGCUAUGCCGCGUGAGUGAAGAAGGCCUUCGGGUUGUAAAACUCUUUCAAUAGGGAAGAUAAUGACGGUACCUAUAAAGGAACGACGGCCCAAUCCCCCCUUCUUUCCCACCUAGCCGAUAAAUUUACGAAAUUUUUACCGCUGGCUUUUUUGUUUUUAAAACCUUCAAAAUUUUUUAAAUUUUUCACUUUUUUUGAGGGGGGGGGGGGGGGGGCCAAAUUCCCCCCCACAAUAAAUUUUUUUUAAAAGUGUACAAUUUAAAUAAUUUUAUAGCUUUAAUUUAAUUUUAACUACCUAUAAAAUUUAAAAAUUAUAAAAUUUUAAAAUUUAUAAAAGUUUUUUAUAAUUAUAAACCUAUUUAUAAUUGGCUAAUACUCCCCUUUUUAAAUGCCUUAAUCUGACGGUAAAUCUAUAUAAAUUUAUUUAUUAUUUUCUAAUUUAAAAACACUAAAUGUAAAAUCACUCUUAAAACAAAAUUUGCAAUCAACCACCAUACUUCAAAUUCGCCCACACUGCUUGCCAUAUCUUUUCCAAUCUUUUCAGUUGCUUCAACAUUAUCACAUUUUUAAAAAUUCCAAUAUAAAAUGUCUUUUAUCAUUAAAAAUCUAAUUGCAAAAUGCUAUAACUCUCUUCUU